AGGGAUGCAGGGUUCCUCCUGUGGCUGCAUGGCAGAGACAGCCUCCCCAAGGAGGCUGGAAGAAGGGGAAUGGAUGCACUGGGAGUAGCAACCAGUACUGGCAUCAUCUCUUCCGUGCAAACACCUUGCUCAGUCAAGACUUAUCCUGUCCCCAUAAGGAAGAUGUUAGUGUAAAUGUUUUACAGAUGAAACAGAGCCGCAAAGUGCUGACAUGACUUCACCAAGGUCACACAGCCAGUAUUUCUCCCAGGAUUUGAACCAAGGUCUCAGGGCUCUACCACCUGUGCUCUUUCCAUCCUUGAUGUGCUGGAAGAAAGGCAGAUUCCUCCCCGCUCCGUUUUCUGCCUUCAUUUGGGCUCCCUUCACCGAUCCACGGAAGGCGGUAGCCUCCUCGUCAUUCUCCCUGCCGUCCUUCAGGCAGCAGCCGUCCAGUCCAUACUGUCAGCCUUGGAGCCCGAAUGAUCUCUCCCAGUGCAGAUCUGAUCAGAUUCACUUUCCUGGGAUUUUAUCUUUUUUACAGUCUCCCC
rnacentral:lncRNA from 1 species